ensembl:lincRNA
CUGCUCUUUAAAUUUUACUUUCUUCAAGGUAGUCUGAACUAACUUUAAGUUUUCUCUCAGUAUAUCUCCACAGCACUUGGGACUUCUGUUUCAGUACCACAGAUUAGGUUUGUGAGUUUUUAUUCAAAGUGUGUCUCCUGGGAAGACAAGUCACAGGGACCACCUCUGUGUGAUUCGCAAUAUCCCACAACGAAUGUGGAUCGGUUCAAACUCGGAAGCUGCACAUGUAGAAGGACUCUCUUUGGAGUCUUAGGAAUUGCAAUUUAAGAGACACAUGUUCUAAUAAUUCUGAUUCUGUGUUCCAAUGAAGCCCAGGAUAACCAGAGCCUAGGCAGACAAGCAUUUAUCACAAAGCAGUAAAAAUUCCUUGUAGGAAACAUCCAUUAAAUGCUGAGAAAGAAUAGAGGGCAGCGACUGAAGGUGAAGAAAAGAAUGUCUAGACAGAAUGGAACGGUCCAUAAAGCGAGGUUCUGAGGGCCUCCUGCUCGGGGGCCUGGCCAUCCCCGUGCCCACAGCCGGGCAGCGGCUUGGCGGUAAGUCCUGCUUCUCAGUGGCUCCCAGCUCCCUCACUGUUGCCUUGGCCAUCGUUUGCACGCACAGCGUCUAAAGCAGGUGUGCUGCAGACGUACUCGUCUCUCUUAUUUAAAUAUAAGUGGCUGUUUGCGCUUAGGGGUUGAAAGGCUAAACUAGUCAGCAAGUAAUCCGCCAGGCAAGGAGAAUGACCCGAAUGACCCGGACGAGAUCCUGCCGGAGACCAGAGGAGUGCGGUGAAGGAAUCCGUCUGCGGCGCAAGGAGGAGAAAGAUCAAAGAGCGCUGAGUAAACCAUCGGGAAGGAUUGCUGCCAACAACAUAAAAAGAAGAACUGGAGAGGAAAAAGUAAAGCUGUUGGGAGCUAUUAGUUCUCCUGGGGCUAUUGGGUCUCCUGGAGGAGCUUGUCAUGCUGACUUUCCUGAUAUGAAGUCACUGUUCUCAUUGUUCGAAGAGCUCAGGACUUUGUUGUCACUGAGAAUGGCUUCAGUUCACUUUGGGGGAGCUCUGGUCUUUACUCUGAGCAUCACUUCCUGGCUCCAGAGGGGAAGAUAGUGCACUGCUCAGUCUACUGGAGAGACUUCUUGUUCUGGCUUUCCUGAUAUGAGCUCGGCUGUUCUCAUUGUUGGAGGAGCCUGGGACCUCACUGUUGCUGAGGAUGGCUGUGGUACUUUUCAGGGGAUCUCUAGUUCUUACUUUGAGCAUCGCUUCCUGGCUCCAGUGCAGAUCCCUCAGCCUGCUAGUACACAUCCUUCAUCCUGCUGGCACAGAUUUUCUAGCUUCCACCACUGACCUUUUGACAUUCCCAGUGCAGAUCCAUGAAACAGACUUGCAUGAGACAUUGUCAUGGGUUCUAGGCCUCCAGUUGGACUCGUGGAGGACAUUGCCAUGGGCUCUCGGUCUUCAGCGGGACUCAUGCAGGACAUUGCUGUGGGAUCCAGGCCCUCAGCUGGAUUCUUUUGGUCUUUAGUGUGUGGACAGAUUUCCUGCACUCUCUUUGUAUAUGACUCUUUAGGUGACUAUUAUUAAAAAAAUACUAUAAAUCAUGUGUCCUG